UACGUAGGGGGCAAGCGUUGUCCGGAUUUAUUGGGCGUAAAGAGCUCGUAGGCGGUUCCGUAAGUCGUGAAGUCAAAUCUCUGGGCUCAACCCAGAAUCGCUUCCGAUACUGCGGUGACUGGAGUCCGGUAGGGGAGUGUGGAAUUCCUGGUGUAGCGGUGAAAUGCGCAGAUAUCAGGAGGAACACCAACAGCGGAGGCAGCACUCUGGGCCGGUACUGACGCUGAGGAGCGAAAGCAUGGGGAGCGAACAGG
rnacentral:rRNA from 1 species